rnacentral:rRNA from 1 species
AUUGAACGCUGGCGGCAUGCUUUACACAUGCAAGUCGAACGGUAACAGGCCUUCGGGUGCUGACGAGUGGCGCACGGGUGAGUAAUGCAUCGGAACGUACCCAGAGGUGGGGGAUAACGCAGCGAAAGCUGUGCUAAUACCGCAUGUGAUCUGAGGAUGAAAGCGGGGGACCGAGCAGCAAUGUUUGGCCUCGCGCCUUUGGAGCGGCCGAUGUCGGAUUAGCUAGUUGGUGGGGUAAAGGCCUACCAAGGCGACGAUCCGUAGCUGGUCUGAGAGGACGACCAGCCACACUGGGACUGAGACACGGCCCAGACUCCUGCGGGAGGCAGCAGUGGGGAAUUUUAGACAAUGGGCGCAAGCCUGAUCCAGCAAUGCCGCGUGCGGGAAGAAGGCCUUCGGGUUGUAAACCGCUUUUGGCAGGAACGAAACGGUGUCCGCUAAUACCGGGCGCUAAUGACGGUACCUGCAGAAUAAGCACCGGCUAACUACGUG